ACGCACGCUGGCGGCAGGCCUCACACAUGCAAGUCGCACGAAGUCUUCGGACUUAGUGGCGCACGGGUGAGUAACACGUGGGAAUAUACCUUACGCUGGGGGAUAACAUCGGGAAACUGAUGCUAAUACCGCAUACGCCCUUCGGGGGAAAGAUUUAUCGGCGAAAGAUUAGCCCGCGUCCGAUUAGCUAGUUGGUGAGGUAAUGGCUCACCAAGGCUCCGAUCGGUAGCUGGUCUGAGAGGAUGACCAGCCACACUGGGACUGAGACACGGCCCAGACUCCUACGGGAGGCAGCAGUGGGGAAUAUUGGACAAUGGGCGCAAGCCUGAUCCAGCCAUGCCGCGUGAGUGAUGAAGGCCUUAGGGUUGUAAAGCUCUUUCACCCACGACGAUGAUGACGGUAGUGGGAGAAGAAGCCCCGGCUAACUUCGUG
rnacentral:rRNA from 1 species